GAUGAACGCUGGCGGCGUGCCUAAUACAUGCAAGUCGAGCGAACAGACGAGGAGCUUGCUCCUCUGACGUUAGCGGCGGACGGGUGAGUAACACGUGGAUAACCUACCUAUAAGACUGGGAUAACUUCGGGAAACCGGAGCUAAUACCGGAUAAUAUAUUGAACCGCAUGGUUCAAUAGUGAAAGACGGUUUUGCUGUCACUUAUAGAUGGAUCCGCGCCGCAUUAGCUAGUUGGUAAGGUAACGGCUUACCAAGGCAACGAUGCGUAGCCGACCUGAGAGGGGGAUCGGCCACACGGGAACUGAGACACGGUCCAGACUCCUACGGGAGGCAGCAGUAGGGAAUCUUCCGCAAUGGGCGAAAGCCUGACGGAGCAACGCCGCGUGAGUGAUGAAGGUCUUCGGAUCGUAAAACUCUGUUAUUAGGGAAGAACAAAUGUGUAAGGAACUAUGCACGUCUUGACGGUACCUAAUCAGAAAGCCACGGCUAACUACGUG
rnacentral:rRNA from 1 species